UUAGAAGCGAGAAUUCUAAAGCAUUGCUCUUGGCACCGCAGUAACCUCUUCUGGCCACUAGAGGCAUGAUGAGAUGCUAAUAGGUCUGUCUUGGUCAGUUAAAACUGUUCAGUUGGUGUUGAAUGCUAGUGCUUGUUUGGGUAUGUUGUUCUAUGUCUCUCCCAGUAUGUGUUUAGUUUCUUAAUAAAUUUUUGUUCUUUAUUUAUUUUGAACUCAACAUACUGUAUCCAGAUCAUCUCUUGGGCUGAACUUCUUUAUCACCAGAACACACACUACUAUGUGAGGAUUUUAAUGUUUCUCCUUACACCCCUCAACAUAAUCACCUGUAAAGCCCUAAAUGAUUUAGAACCUGGGCGGUAAGGAUGGUCGUCUUCCACAUGCUCCUUUCCAAACACUCUGAUUAUCAUCUGACACCCUACUCUGGGUGUUUUUGCCAUCAGAAAUGUGGUGAGCAUUGACAAGGAGCAGGGCCUUUUCAGUGGUGGUGCCAACAUGCUGGAACAUCCACCCCUCAGAACCUCAUGGUCUUUACUCCUCGAUCGUUUGUGUAUGUUUAGUUAAAAUGUGGCUAUUUCUUUGGGUGACUUCACAUGAUCUGCCAAAAGUAAGGAAGGUGGGAAUCUCUGGUUCCUGGUGACUGCACGCUCCUGGCGGGCAUGUCAUGCUAACCCUGCCCAAGUCCAGUGCCCAAGUCAUCUACCCGACAUUCUACCGUCGUUCUCUACCCAACUUCAAAUCUUGGUUCAAAGAGGACAGAUGAAAAAAUUGCAAUAGAAUGGGCGGGCAAGAUUGCAGAUGAAAGUUGAUGAUGCUUUGGACUGCCAUGGGUGGGAAAAACAGGGUGUGCACUGGGGGCAUAACAAGGUUGGAAUGAGCCCUGGGACAAAAAGGGAAGAUGGGCCUCUGAUGCCCCUCACCUCCCUGCCAUUUUCUUCAUAGAGGCAAGGGUUGUGGGAGAACUAAAAGCAAGCUGCCACUCAGCUGGUGGGCCCUCCUCCCUCAGAGGUCCAGGGACAUUUGUUACCCCUUGUUCAAUUGUAGCUACAUUCUUGGUAUGCAUAAAUAUGCCAAAAUAUAGCAUUUAAAAAGUUUCAUAUCUGAUUUUAAUUACUAGCUUAUUUAUAUUGCUUGUUCACCCUGACAAAAAACCCAUGGAGCUGGGCCACCAUAAUCACUCAUUUCAUAGGGAGAAUUGAGAAUGAAAGAUUGAAUUGUCUCAAGGGCAACCAGUGAAUCCUUGACUGAACUGGGAUGUGAGCUCAAAUUCAGGUUGUGCAGUCAAACUGUUGGAGCAAACUGCUGCCAACGCUCUGAAUAAACACAAUCUCUGCAUCAAAGAAACUGCAAUUUAAGGAUUUAAUCAGGCAAAACAUUAUAUCUGAAUAGAAUACAUGAACAGUAAACAUCUGUUAGGCAUGCCCUUUAAUUUAGCAGAUCUAUUUGGGGCUGCAGGUGGAUGGAAAUGUCAGAUUUUUGAACACCCGCUGUAUAUAACACCAGCCACACUGCAUGUAGUAAACUAGCCCAUAGAGAAGGAAAGCGCACCAGAGCUUUUUGUAUGGUAUGCUAGUUUACUACAUGCAAAAAAAAAAGAAAGAAAGAAAGAAAGAAAGAAAGAAAGAAAGAAAGAAAGAAAGAAAGAAGGAAAGCAUACAAAAAUAUGACACUAAGCCUGCAGCCUGUCACAGUACAUCCCAAUAACUACCCCUUAAUUUUCCAUAUUGUUCUGCUUAAUCUGUAGAACGGCUGUCACCGGCCAGUCAUCAAGUGUAAUCGAUGCACAUGGAUGUGUGUGAACCAGCCCUCAGAGGAAUCCACGCAGGCUUUACAAGAAUCCUCCAAAAGCUUGCAGGUGUCAGAGAUGCUGAAUCACUGAGCCUGAAACAUGGAAAAGCCACAGUCUAGCAGCAGCUCAAAUGACAGAAACCCUGCAGAUCUUGGAAGACACAAACAAGUUGCUAACAAGGUAACAGUCACAUCUGCAAGAGAGGGAGAGCAAAACCAACUGAACUGAUGAAACAACCAGUCAACAGAAUUGAAGACUGAUUCUACUCCAAGGACUUAACAUACAUACAUACAUAUAGAGCUCCUGAGAAAAGCUUGGCUCAGCGUCCUCAACGCAGUUUUCAGCCUGUACAGUAAAAGAAGAUCCACAGUUCCCCAGCAUCAGCUAGUCACAUGUCUGUCCGUCUCAGUUCUCCCAAACUUCUCCAGCUGCUCCUACGCCUUCAUGCCUCUGAAAACAGCUUCAAAAUUUGUUAAAUUCCAUUCUUGUUGCUGAGAGCCUUUUGAAGAAAAUGCCUACCUGGGCCAUGGACAACUCCCAAAUGAACACCCCUCCCCUCAACAAGAUGAAGGGAAUAAGAAGAGGACUGAAUGUAUCAAGCAAUAAGCUGCUGAUUAGAAUCAGCCACGCUUUCCUCCCAUCCCUGCAGGGAACCAUUCGAAGUGCUAGAAAUAGUCUGAAUGUUCUCAGGCCAGAGAAUGCUCUGAUAAGAAGAUACAGUUCUAUCACUGAAGUCCAGGAGCAGAGGCGGGGCUAACAAAACAGCCAGCAGCAAGAGCACUGAAGGCAGACGGCACUUGCCUCUCUGUAAAUAAUAUCUGUCUC